AGAUGUGGUCGGCUCUGAGGACCAGCUAGUUCUCUGAGAGUUGAUACCUCCAGCAUCUGGCUGGCCAGCGCCCUACUCUCUCUGAUGACUUCCUUCCAAAUCUUUUUCCCCAAAAUUUAAGACGACAUCAUCAUUUUUUUAUCUGUGUGCAUCUUCCCCAGCCUCCACAUUACUCUUCCUGUCCGUGCUGCACCUCAAGAAUUUCGUAGAUGGUUAGCUGUAGUCGGCUGGCUGCUCUGAUGCAACAAUGUCAUGCCAAGAGAAAACUCAUUUUAUUUUGGAGCCUGGAUGAGAGUUACUCAUGACCAGAACAGAUUGAGCAGUGAGUCACCCACCAGAUGUUAUUAGAGCUGUGACAACAAGAAACCAGAUGAAACCUCUAAACUCUAUCUGCUUUCCAGACCAUGGAAAUGCAGCAUAUUGAAUUUGCUUUGACUUAUGCAAACUGCAGAGCCUGAAGACAGAACAGAAUUCAAGCUGAUAUCAGGUUGUUGUUGAAGCCAACAGAACAAGAACUGACUGUGUGGAAACAAUUUCUCUCUAUUUCUUAUGCUGUUUUCUUUUUCUGAUGAGAAAUGAUCACUGGUGACUCAAGAUCUCAGUUAAGUUUGAGGAAACAGGAAGGGCUCAGGGAAAAGAGAAGGUCGUGGCUCCUGGUAGCCUCUUCACAGACCCAUCAAGAUCUGGGAGAGGCCUUCCUGGUGCUGCUCUCCGCAUGUCCCAGUGCACCCUCUUUCCUUCAGCGCUCCAGUUGCUGCUCACCCCCAAGCGUGGGAGACAUCAGAUCAAGAUUCCACUAAAAAGUGGCAUUUGGUAGAAUGCAUCAGUUCUGGCCUCACUGGCUCCAACCCCCUCGCAAAAACAACAACAAGAGCUGGCAACAGUCUCAUAAAUAUUCUGAGAUGUACUUUCUGAGAUAAGAUGAAAGAAUUAAAAACAGAAUGCUGUGUCGAAUGUGUGUUCAGCUGAUAUUUUCUAGCCUUUUUCCCACUGUACUUCUGGCAAGAUGCUUACUUAAAUUUCUAUUGAAAUAUGAAGGUCAAAGUUAAUAA